UACGAAGGGGGCUAGCGCUGCUCGGAAUCACUGGGCGUAAAGGGUGCGUAGGCGGGUCUUUAAGUCAGGGGUGAAAUCCUGGAGCUCAACUCCAGAACUGCCUUUGAUACUGAAGAUCUUGAGUUCGGGAGAGGUGAGUGGAACUGCGAGUGUAGAGGUGAAAUUCGUAGAUAUUCGCAAGAACACCAGUGGCGAAGGCGGCUCACUGGCCCGGUACUGACGCUGAGGUGCGAAAGCGUGGGGAGCAAACAGG
rnacentral:rRNA from 1 species